rnacentral:rRNA from 1 species
GACGGGGGAUGCAAGCGUUGCUCGGAAUUACUGGGCGUAAAGCGCGCGUAGGUGGUUAGGUAAGCUAGAUGUGAAAUCCUGCGGCUUAACCGUAGAAGUGCAUCUGGAACUGCCUGACUAGAGUAUGGUAGAGGGCAGGGGAAUUCCCGGUGGAGCGGUGAAAUGCGUAGAUAUCGGGAGGAAUACCAGUGGCGAAGGCGCCUGCCUGGGCCAUUACUGACACUGAGGCGCGAAAGCGUGGGGAGCAAACAGGAUUAGAUACCCUGGUAGUCCACGCGGUAAACGAUGCUCACUAGGUGUUGCGGGUACUUACCCCUGCAGUGCCGAAGCUAACGCGUUAAGUGAGCCGCCUGGGGAGUACGGCCGCAAGGUUAAA